AUUUAUAUAGUUUAGUUAUAUAAACAUUACAUUUUCACUGUAAAGACAAAGAAAACUUUUAUAAAUA
rnacentral:tRNA from 1 species